CUAACUAAUUCAAACCGACCAUGAACACCGUCCGUGAAAGUAUGAAAAGGGUGAGUUAAGAAGUUAGCAGUCCCCGCCACGUCGUGUUCUUCCUUAAUUCACCACCUCACUCUGACUCUGGCUUUUCCUCCCUCCCUUUCUUUCUUCAAAGCGGUUUACCUAACUCCCCCCUAAUUUGAUAACCCUGUUGUGUUGUUCGGAUCAGCUGAAGAACGGAAUGGAUGAAGGAGAAGUAGAGAAGAACGGAGGAGGAGUUUGCUCAUCGGAAACUGUCAACGGCGGAGAAGAUGUUUUCAGUUGCGAUGAAUCGGAUGCUUCGUCAGUUGAUCAUCUUGUAAUUAUGGUCCACGGUAUUCUCGGAAGCGCCACAGACUGGAAGUUUGGUGCUGAGCAAUUUGUUCGGAGGCUUCCUGACAAAGUUUUUGUUCAUUGUAGCGAACGUAAUAUGGCAAAACUAACAUUGGAUGGUGUUGAUGUAAUGGGUGAGAGAUUGUCUGAGGAGGUUCUUGAAGUGAUCAAGAGAAAGCCAGGUCUGAAGAAAAUUUCUUUUGUGUCACACUCUGUGGGAGGGUUGGUGGCAAGAUAUGCCAUUGGAAGGUUAUAUAGACCUCCUAGAAUGGAAAAUAUUGAGGAUUUAUCAGCCAAUGCAUGUAUAGAACGGUUGAAAGGUUGCACGAUAGCUGGUUUGGAACCAAUAAAUUUUAUCACCGUCGCCACACCUCAUCUUGCUUCUAGGGGUAACAAGCAGGUGCCAUUUCUUUUUGGUUUGACUGCCUUAGAGAAAGCUGCUUUCCAUGUAAUCCAUUGGAUAUUUAAAAGAACAGGGCGGCACCUUUUUCUUUGUGAUAAUGAUGAAGGGAGGCCUCCAUUACUUAAACGCAUGGUGGAAGACGAUGGUGAACUACACUUCAUGUCUGCAUUGCGUUCAUUCAAGCGCCGGGUUGCAUAUUCAAAUGUUGGCUAUGACCAUAUUGUUGGUUGGAGAACAUCAUCUAUUAGACGUAAUAAUGAACUACCCAAGUGGGAAGAAUCCUUGAAUGAAAAGUAUCCUCACAUUGUCUACGAAGAACAUUGCAAGGCAUAUGACGGUGAGCAGGGUGAGUCUGUUGUGAAGGAAGAUGAUUCUUUGGACAAGGUGGAAGAAGAACUGUUGACUGGUUUAAGUAAAGUAUCAUGGGAUAAAGUGGAUGUUAGCUUUCACAUGAGCAGGCGUAAAUUUGCUGCUCACAGUGUUAUUCAGGUGAAGGAUCCAAAUAUGGAUGCUGAAGGUGCUGAUGUUAUACAACAUAUGAUUGAUAACUUUAUUGUGUAGAGGCCAAGUCAAGUCUGAAAUUUUCAAGGGAGGGGCAGAAAUCUAGAGGGUUUAUUAUGAGUUCACACAAACUUAGAACUCUUAAAUUCAAAUCUUGGAUCCGCCUCUGGGCUCGCAGAUCUCUGUAGCAACCAAAUGCGAAUUCAGGAUUUUCUUCAUGGAUUCAUGAUUUUCCGAGCAUAUGGUUCAUUUGAUUGUCUGUUCAGAACAGAUGGUAUAUUCAGAAUUUUUAAUAUAUGGGUUCGGGAUUAUAAUUAUUUUUGUUUACUUGGUUUUGAAUAGAUUAUUCAUGCAUAUUAGAUGAAAUUCUUUGAUACAAGUUUGAGCAAAAGCUAUUGAGUUUUGUUGAACCCAUAAUAGUAAUAGCCUUAGUUCAAUUUGUACUUAUUUAGCGUGUUUUUGACAUAAUUAAUGUUUGAAUCAACACUACUGAUGAAUUCAAUUGAACGUACAUACAUGAACGGUUUUUGUAUCA